rnacentral:rRNA from 1 species
GACGAACGCUGGCGGCGUGCUUAACACAUGCAAGUCGAACGGAAAGGCCCUGCUUUUGUGGGGUGCUCGAGUGGCGAACGGGUGAGUAACACGUGAGUAACCUGCCCUUGACUUUGGGAUAACUUCAGGAAACUGCGGCUAAUACCGGAUAGGAGCUCCUGCUGCAUGGUGGGGGUUGGAAAGUUUCGGCGGUUGGGGAUGGACUCGCGGCUUAUCAGCUUGUUGGUGGGGUAGUGGCUUACCCAGGCUUUGACGGGUAGCCGGCCUGAGAGGGUGACCGGCGACAUUGGGACUGAGGGACGGCCCAGAGUCCUACGGGAGGCAGCGGGGGGGAAUAUUGCACAAUGGGCGGAAGCCUGAUGCAGCAACGCCGCGUGCGGGAUGACGGUCUUCGGGUUGGAAACCGCUUUCGCCUGUGACGAAGCGUGAGUGACGGUAAUGGGUAAAGAAGCACCGGCUAACUACGUG